rnacentral:rRNA from 1 species
UACGUAGGUGGCAAGCGUUAUCCGGAAUUAUUGGGCGUAAAGCGCGCGUAGGUGGCUUGGCAAGUUGGAUGUGAAAUCCCUGGGCUUAACCUGGGAAUUGCAUUUAAUACUGCUAGUCUAGAGUACAGUAGAGGGAAGUGGAAUUUCCGGUGUAGCGGUGAAAUGCGUAGAUAUCGGAAAGAACAUCAGUGGCGAAGGCGACUUCCUGGAUUGAUACUGACACUGAGGCGCGAAAGCGUGGGGAGCAAACAGG